rnacentral:snoRNA from 2 species
AAGGAGGUUGUUUCGAGUUAACAUUCCUACCUGAUACCAUCUUCCUAGAUUGAAUCUGUCAUUUUUUGUGCUUGCUGAACUUUUAGUCUGUUCUGCUGGCCUUAACAGGCAGUAUAUCAGU